AACACACUCUAUCUCUUGCUGAAUGGUUGAACCUAUACACUAUACAGAGUUCGAACCCAUUGCUAGCCCACUGCAAGUUUGCCACUGAUCGUCUCUCCUCUACCACUGGCCAGAUACAGUAUUACCUCCAAGGCUUCAAUGCUCCACACUUGUAUGGUCAAAAGCAAAGCAAGUCUACUGGUGUAGAUUUUCCAGUUGUGUUAGGUUACCUCCAAGGCCCCAAUGCUCCGCGUGUAUGGUUAAAAGCAAAGCAAGUGUAUUGGUGUAGAGUUUCUAGGUUAAAAUGUCGCAUGCCUUGGGUUAUAGUUUUAUAGAUGAUGUCGAGGGGAGAUAUAUUUUAUUGCAACAAGUUUUAGCUUGGCAACAUAUCUUCAUGAGGAAUAUGUUAUUAUUUGAUUAGUAUUUGAGAGAAUAGAUUGGAACUUAAAUUAUGUUAUAUGAUAUUGAACUUGGGUAUUGUUUUUCCUUAUUAGUAGUU